GUGCCCAUGAUUAGUAACAAGCUAGCAGAUAUCCCUCCUGAUGAUUAUUCAUUGAAGAAAUAUGGCCAAAAGCAAAUCAAGGGUUCUCCACAUCCAAGGUAAGAUGAUCAUGGGAUGCAUUUAUAAGACCAGGAGGAAGUCGUAUACCAGGGCAUUGGGUUGAACCACCACCACUCGCAGGUGAAAUAUGGGCAGCAUAUUUGGUUCCACAAAAAUUAAACCAUCCAACCAUGUGAUUAGAAUUGGUUUUCCAAAAGAUGUUGCUAAAAAAGGAUUGGUAUGCUAUGCAUCGG